rnacentral:rRNA from 1 species
UACGUAGGCAGCGAGCGUUGUUCGGAGUUACUGGGCGUAAAGGGUGUGUAGGCGGUUCUUUAAGUUUGGUGUGAAAUCUCCCGGCUCAACCGGGAGGGUGCGCCGAAUACUGAGGGACUUGGAGUGCGGGAGAGGAAAGUGGAAUUCCUGGUGUAGCGGUGAAAUGCGUAGAUAUCAGGAGGAACACCAGUGGCGAAGGCGAGUCUCUGGACAUUUCCUGACGCUGAGGCACGAAAGCCAGGGGAGCAAACGGG